rnacentral:rRNA from 1 species
GAGUUUGAUCUUGGCUCAGGAUUAACGCUGGCGGCGUGCAUAACACAUUCAAGUCGAACGGAGAGAGGCAGCUUCGGUUGCGUCAAUCAGUGGCGGACGGGUGAGUAACGCGUGAGUAACCUGCCUGUAAGAGGGGGAUAACACCUGGAAACGGGUGCUAAUACCGCAUAAAUCAUAGUUGUCGCAUGGCAGCGAUGUAAAAGAGGAAUUGCUUACAGAUGGACUCGCGUCUGAUUAGAUAGUUGGUAAGGUAACCGCCUACCAAGUCUGCGAUCAGUAGCCGGACUGAGAGGUUGAACGGCCACAUUGGAACUGAGACACGGUCCAAACUCCUA